UACAGAGGGGGCAAGCGUUAUUCGGAAUUAUUGGGCGUAAAGGGCGCGUAGGCGGCCCUGUGUGUCGGGUGUGAAAGCCCACCUCUUAAAGGUGGAAUUGCAUUCGAAACUACAGGGCUGGAGUGUCGGAGAGGAUGACGGAAUUCCUGGUGUAGAGGUGAAAUUCGUAGAUAUCAGGAGGAACACCGGUGGCGAAGGCGGCCAUCUGGACGACAACUGACGCUGAGGCGCGAAAGCGUGGGGAUCAAACAGG
rnacentral:rRNA from 1 species